GUCGAGCGAAUGGAUUAAGAGCUUGCUCUUAUGAAGUUAGCGGCGGACGGGUGAGUAACACGUGGGUAACCUGCCCAUAAGACUGGGAUAACUCCGGGAAACCGGGGCUAAUACCGGAUAACAUUUUGAACCGCAUGGUUCGAAAUUGAAAGGCGGCUUCGGCUGUCACUUAUGGAUGGACCCGCGUCGCAUUAGCUAGUUGGUGAGGUAACGGCUCACCAAGGCAACGAUGCGUAGCCGACCUGAGAGGGUGAUCGGCCACACUGGGACUGAGACACGGCCCAGACUCCUACGGGAGGCAGCAGUAGGGAAUCUUCCGCAAUGGACGAAAGUCUGACGGAGCAACGCCGCGUGAGUGAUGAAGGCUUUCGGGUCGUAAAACUCUGUUGUUAGGGAAGAACAAGUGCUAGUUGAAUAAGCUGGCACCUUGACGGUACCUAACCAGAAAGCCACGGCUAACUACGUGCCAGCAGCCGCGGUAAUACGUAGGUGGCAAGCGUUAUCCGGAAUUAUUGGGCGUAAAGCGCGCGCAGGUGGUUUCUUAAGUCUGAUGUGAAAGCCCACGGCUCAACCGUGGAGGGUCAUUGGAAACUGGGAGACUUGAGUGCAGAAGAGGAAAGUGGAAUUCCAUGUGUAGCGGUGAAAUGCGUAGAGAUAUGGAGGAACACCAGUGGCGAAGGCGACUUUCUGGUCUGUAACUGACACUGAGGCGCGAAAGCGUGGGGAGCAAACAGGAUUACAUAC
rnacentral:rRNA from 1 species